UUUUUUUUAAAGAAAUUUCUCAUGGAUUAAUCUGGGGCCAUAUAUCAGCCCAAUUUUUAAUUGAAUUGAAUUGGUGGGUCAUUUGCAUUUUUGUUCCUAUGUUGUGCUGGUCUUUGAUUUUUAUCCCUCAAGGCAAAUAAUUUUUUCACAUCAUAAUAUCGCACAAGUUAUGUCUCAUGCCUUAAAGAACUUAUAUCUAGCACGAUUUUGAAGGGCAAAAUCUAAAGACCAGUGAUAAGUUGGUAUUUUACCAAUUUAUGUCUUCUUUAAUCUUCGAUUUUUGCUAUGUCUAAUUGAUAAAAUAGUGCAUUUAAUGUCGUUUACUCCCAUUUUAUAGGUUUUAUAUGAUUAAGAAGUGAUCGGGAAGAAACCAAGUGAAAAACAAGUCAAAAAAGGCCCAAUUGAAGAAAAUGAGAAAAGUGGCUAAAAUUGCAAAAAUGGCCAGAUCUGGAAAUCUGAAGUUUGAAGGCUAUUUUCGUCACUUUUUAUUGGGAAAUUUUUGGAAACUUUAAAAGCAACACUUCGGAGACAAUAUUUUCAACUUUGGCCAUUUCAUACAAGUCUUGGAGAGUUAGGGUUCAUCAACAAUACCAUUGGCGGAGAAGAUUGGAGCACUUUAAUGAUAAUUUUUUUAACCCCUUCUUCAAUUCCUUGCUUUGUAUUGUAUAUCUAAGUGUGUAGAAUUUUAUUCCAUCACUUUAAUCUUGUUUAUGAAAAUAUUCAUUUGCAAAGUUGGAUGAAAUCUCUUGUUAUGCUUAUGUAUUGAAUGAUUUUUAUUUCUAUUGAAGUGAGUCUUUGUUGUUUUAAUUAAUCUUGUUCUUUAAUGUUUCUUAAGAGAUUAGCUAACCCUAAGACUCGCCCAUUUACUUCGAUUUGAGCACAAGAGAGGAAGAUUGGGGUUGGGAAAGUUUAAUUAACAAGAAUUUAGGGCUUUAAAACCUAUCUAAUAACUUGAGCUAGGGAUAGAAAAGUUACUUGAGAUUAUAAUGAUUAUGCUUAAUAUCACACUCUAAGGCUUGAGAAAGCUUAGAGUGAAAUUCAUUGAUUUGGUCGAGAGACUUUUGAUGAGAUUUUAGAGAUCAUUAUCUAAUUAGCAUAAACUCACUCUUAGUUGUAAAAUCAUGAAAUACAUUGGAUCGUUACUUGAGCGUAGUUUCCUUUGUAUCCAUACUUAUGGCCAUUGAUCAUUUUACCCGCUUUUUAGAUAGUUUUAUCUUUAUUAGUUGUUAAAGCAAAACCAAAUAUUAAAAAAGUAUUUGCUUAGCAUAGUUGGUAAUAAUUCUUUACUUGUUUAAAUCGCCUAGUAUAUUGUUUCCUGUGAGAUUGACCCUGACUCAUAAUUGGGUAAAUUAUAUUGCAUACAACCGUGUACACUUUCUCUUUGAGGAGUGAAUUUGGACAUUAUCAACCAGCCCAUUUGAAGGGCAAAAAUUAAAGACAAACCCAUUUGAAGGACAAAUCGUGCAAUUUCUCCAUCAAAAUGGCUGAGCCAAUAAGACUUGCCCAAAAUUAAACUGGUUGAGCGAGUCAUAUUUUGAUGAACUAAUUUGUCACCCUAUACAUCGGAGUUAUCCAAAAAUAUGCCUUAAUUAUCAAAAAAAAAAAAAAAAAAACUAUAGUGGUGGGAUAAUGCCGGUAUCUGAUGAAAUAUUCUACUAUACACAAAUAAAUUGGACACAUGUGUUUUGAAGAAAAAAACGUUGAUAGUGGGUUGCUCAAAGAAGAGUACAAAUAUCGCACGUAACUGAGGUGCUGACUGUCUAUAAGUAUACCUAUGAAACCAUGAGUCUUAACACAUCACAAUUUGGUUUUAUUUCUUUGUAUAUUCUUCAAAGCAAUUAAGGCAAUGGAGGGAAAGACUAUGGUCAAAUUAUCUCACGUGGUUGCUAUCUUGCUUCUUGCAGCACGUACGUUAAUUAGCCCCUUAGUUGCCCCAUCUCAUGCAUAUUUUUACUUAUAUUUAAAUAAUAAAUACAAUUAUUACCACCAAAAGAUAUCAUAAGAUGUAUGUGAAACCCCUCCAUGAUUAAUUAGAGAUCUCGAGUUCGAGUCCUAAGAAUGAAAAAUUCUCUACUAAGGAGCGUUUUCCAUGAAUAAGCCCUAUGCCGCUACGCGGUGCCAGUGGAGUAGCCAGAUAGAAUGAAGGGUGGUUAAUUGAACACCUUUCAUCGGAUGAUUGUUUUGAGUAUAAUGCGGAUAUAUUUUCAAAAUAACUUCUUAUAACAUAUAAUUAAGCCUUGAACAUCCUUUAGCCCGAGGCGGAGCUAGAAUAUGGGUUACGGAUUGACCGAAUCCACUAACUUGAUUCAAAUCUUGUAUUUAUCUUAUAAAUUCCAUUGAGUAGAAUUUCAAACCCAUAAGCUUUAAAUUCUACUUCACUUCUACGCUAAGUGAAAUUUCUUAUUUUGUUACAACGCGGUAUGGAUCUGAACUAGUGUAGCCAAUAAGUUCCUGGUGUCAUAUGAUUUCAAAAAAACAACUACAACUAUUCAAAAACAGAAUUCAUUACCUAUAAUGUAUCUCAUUUAAGUAAUUAAUUUGUUAAUUAUUUAUUUUAAUUACAAUGUUUCAACCUAUGAUGGCACGAGAUCUGAGUGAUGAGAUCAUAGAAAUAUUGCAACUUCCACUGGCAAAAGAAAACCAAGUGAAAUAUCUUGAUGACUCAGAACCAAUUUGCCCAGGAAAGCAAUCAUGGCCUGAACUUGUUGGACAACCAGCCCUCACUGCUCAGGAAAUAAUUUAUAAGGAAAAUCCUAGUCACAAAUGUUGAGAUUUUAGUCCCUGGUAUGCCUGUGACAGGAGAUUUUGUAUGUGGUCGAGUUAGAAUUAUUGCUAACUUCCAGCUCUUGUUGUUCAAACUCCCAGGAUGGGUUAAUUAUUGUAAAUUACUAGUAGGUCUAUGGGAGCAUUAUGGAAGAUUAGAAUAAGCAGCACCAAGAAAUAAGAAGGCUAUAUUGUGGAGUCCUAUAGUGUCUUGAUCAUGUACUUUACUAUUUCAAAAUAAAUAAAUAAAGUGUUGCUUAUUCAUAUUAUCAUAA